rnacentral:rRNA from 1 species
GAUGAACGCUGGCGGCGUGCCUAAUACAUGCAAGUCGAACGAGGUGCUUUUGUAGCAAUACGGGAGUAUCCUAGUGGCGAACGGGUGAGUAACGCGUUGGUGACCUGCCUCAAAGUGUGGGAUAACAGUCCGAAAGGAUUGCUAAUACCGCAUGUGGUCAUCGGGUUUAGAAACCGAUGUCUAAAGCAGCAAUGCGCUUUGGGAGGGACCUGCGUCCCAUCAGCUAGUUGGUAAGGUAACGGCUUACCAAGGCGACGACGGGUAGGGGACCUGAGAGGGUGACCCCCCACAAUGGAACUGAAACACGGUCCAUACACCUACGGGUGGCAGCAGUAGGGAAUAUUGCACAAUGGGCGAAAGCCUGAUGCAGCAACGCCGCGUGUGCGAAGAAGGCCUUCGGGUCGUAAAGCACUUUUCUGAGAGAUGAGAAAGGACAGUAUCUCAGGAAUAAGUCUCGGCUAACUACGUGCCAGCCGCCGCCGUAAUAC